rnacentral:rRNA from 1 species
CCUACGGGAGGCAGCAGUGGGGGAUAUUGCACAAUGGGGGGAACCCUGAUGCAGCGACGCCGCGUGGGUGAAGAAGCGCCUCGGCGCGUAAAGCCCUGUCAGCAGGGAAGAAAAUGACGGUACCUGAAGAAGAAGCCCCGGCUAACUACGUGCCAGCAGCCGCGGGAAUACGUAGGGGGCAAGCGUUAUCCGGAUUUACUGGGUAUAAAGGGGGCGCAGACGGCGAUGCAAGCCAGGAGUGAAAGCCCGGGGCCCAACCCCGGGACUGCUCUUGGAACUGCGUGGCUGGAGUGCAGGAGGGGCAGGCGGAAUUCCUGGUGUAGCGGUGAAAUGCGUAGAUAUCAGGAGGAACACCGGUGGCGAAGGCGGCCUGCUGGACUGCAACUGACGUUGAGGCCCGAAAGCGUGGGGAGCAAACAGGAUUAGAUACCCGGGUAGUC